rnacentral:rRNA from 1 species
GUGGGGAAUCUUAGACAAUGGGGGAAACCCUGAUCUAGCCAUGCCGCGUGAGCGAUGAAGGCCUUAGGGUUGUAAAGCUCUUUCAGCUGGGAAGAUAAUGACGGUACCAGCAGAAGAAGCCCCGGCUAACUCCGUGCCAGCAGCCGCGGUAAUACGGAGGGGGCUAGCGUUGUUCGGAAUUACUGGGCGUAAAGCGCACGUAGGCGGACUGGAAAGUCAGGGGUGAAAUCCCGGGGCUCAACCCCGGAACUGCCUUUGAAACUCCCAGUCUUGAGUUCGAGAGAGGUGAGUGGAAUUCCGAGUGUAGAGGUGAAAUUCGUAGAUAUUCGGAGGAACACCAGUGGCGAAGGCGGCUCACUGGCUCGAUACUGACGCUGAGGUGCGAAAGCGUGGGGAGCAAACAGGAUUAGAUACCCCUGUAGUCC